UGUCAGAGCAUAGGCCAGAGCCUUCUGUGCAUAUUUGUUGACGUUUUCAGUCAUACUAUUAUAUUAUUUUCUCUUAGUCAUUGACCAUGCAUGGUAAAUAAUGUGCCAUAGUUGGUUGUGGUGCAUGUUCAGGACGCAACAAAGGUUUAAGUUUUCGUCUAUUAAGAAAAAAUCUUGAGUGGAGACGUGCCCUGGCAGAAGCAGGAUUCAUUUAAUCCUGAUACAGCAACAAUUUGUUCGAGGCAUUUUGAAGAAAGCUGCUUUAGGUCAGGUCCCACAGGGUGAAGGAUUUUAAACGUAAGAAGCAAAUAGUAUGGAAUAAUCGCUACAUCAAACUUUUGAGACAGCGAAGCCAGUUGCUCGGAAGGCACCUGUACAUAGGAUAGACACUGAGAUCACCCCCACCUACUCUGGAGCGAGUGGCUUCCUUGGCUAAAGUAAGGAGGGCAGCCUGUGCGGGUAAGCUACCUUGGAUGAUAGUAGAAAAACCAAAUGUUGUCACUUUCAUCUUCAUGGACCUUGCCCAGGCUUCACUUCACAUCCAGCUGUGUGUCAGCAUAUACAGUGAUCUAUCCACCGAGGUGGAAGUGCUUGGUAUACCUGCUCCAUGCCUCCAGUCAUCGGUCGAAAAGAUUUCUCUAAAAAAGCUGGAAAGCCUCUAUCGGUGUCCUGGGAUAAGUGACCCUAACCUUCAAAAUUAUGCUUCCAACCAUCGGAAAUACGUAUUAUCGACAUUGAGCUUACCGUGAGUUUAUAAAGAGCUGGAAUAUAAGAAUGUAUGUGUAUAUGUAUAGAAAAUACUAUUAUGGCUAUGGUACUAGAUUAUCCCAACUUAUGGAAUGUAUGAAGAAUAUAUUAAAAUUUUUGUGUUUUAAUGCAUUCCCCGUCACAGUGUUUACAGUGUAUUACUUGCAACUACAGUAACCCCUCGUUAAGCCGCAGUAUUCGAUGUCGUAAUUUGCUCUAAGUCGGAAUAAGUGGCCCUAUGUCACGUGCCGAUGGAAACGGCUGUGAUUGGCUAUUGUGAAGUGAUGCGCGACACCGUCGCUGAUUUUAGAAGCGUUUCUGAAUAGUUUUGUCAUUACAGUUGUUGCCAGACAUUGUCGCGUGUGUGUGCAACAGCUCGCAGGAAACAAUAGUUUCUAAUUUUAUGAAAUGUCGUUUAACAUGACGGUCGUAAGUGUUAUUGUUUUGAAAUAAAGUUGUAUAGUCGGUCGUGAUGUACAGGCGUUAUUGGCCUAAUCCUUGCGUUGUCCUUGGAUCGUAGUAAUUGUAUAUGGUCCUGAAGAUGCACUCGUACCCGACUCUUCAGUGAUUGCAGACUCGGUGUCCAGUUUGUUCU